ensembl:lncRNA
CUAGACUGAACUUUAGAAGAUCAACUGUGAAGGUCUUUCACAGGGGAGGCAGAGGCGCUUUCUGAUGAUGGCACCAGAAAUUCUGCAACUGACCGGACUGAUGACAAACUAUGCUUGCAGUCGACCCCAUGACUGGAGGAUAUAUAUGAGACAACGAGAUGCUCAAUUCAUUCUGAGGGCAGAGUAGUGAUGGCAGUUGGGGGUGGAGGACUUAAAUAACUCCUCAAGUUGCUGCAUCUCGCCUACCCGGAUUCAGAUGCUCCCUGUGACCCGGUUUCUCCCAUGUGUGAUUGUCUCAUUUGGUUCAGAUGUGUCUCAUUAAUUACCUAGUUUAGUCCUGUAUUUGAAGUGUUGUCUGCCCUAUGUUCCUUUGUUCGUUGUUAAACGUUUUGAUGUGUUACGUGUAUCUC